AGGUUGGAUGUCUCACCCUAGCAUCAGAACCAGCAACUGGAAAAAAAAAUCAGCACUCACUGCAAACAGAGAAAUGGGGAAAAAAACAGGCUGUUCUCUAAGGGCAGCAGGGACGGAAAGCUGGAAAGAGGAUCCCCGCUUCAUCUAGCCAUCAACCAGUGACACUCAUGUGGAUGGGGAGUCCUGUAAGAAUAUGAAAGGCUGUGCUGAAAUUCCUCUUUGCCACACAUCCCUGCAGAAGAACAGGCCAAACAAAGCAGGAAUGAGUUAGAAAAGUACAGCGCACAAAGUAUUCCUUUGACCUGGGAUCAGUUCACAGUUGUCUGGAGAUGAAAAUGCAAAAGAGAAGAGAAAUUACA